UACGGAGGACCCAAGCGUUAUCCGGAUUUAUUGGGUUUAAAGGGUGCGCAGGCGGGUUAAUAAGUCAAUGGUGAAAUCCCACAGCUCAACUGUGGAACUGCCGUUGAUACUGUUAGCCUUGAGUACAUUUGAGGCGGGCGGAAUGUGUCAUGUAGCGGUGAAAUGCAUAGAUAUGACACAGAACACCAAUUGCGAAGGCAGCUCGCUAAACUGUUACUGACGCUCAUGCACGAAAGCGUGGGGAUCAAACAGG
rnacentral:rRNA from 1 species